rnacentral:snRNA from 1 species
AUACUUACCUGGCAGGGGAGACACCAUGAUCAUGAAGGUGGUUCACCCAGGGUGAGGCUCAGCCAUUGCACUUCGGCUGUGCUGACCCCUGCGAAUUCCCCAAAUGUGGGAAUCUCGACUGCAUAAUUUCUGGUAGUGGGGGACUGCGUUCGCGCUCUCCCCUG